UAAGAGAAGAGCAAACAUUCCUGGCGGGCCAUGCUGUAGCGCCAUAUUGUCUGUCAAGAUGUUGCAGUUUCAGCACCAUGGAUACUAGGCGCGAGUGUAAGUGGAAAGGUCUUCUCUCAAGCGAAACAAAGGAGGCUUUGACACGAUGCAACUCGACUUUUUACAGCAUAAAACUCAGUCCUCGCCAACGACGUAGUCACAGAACAAUGAGGAAAGUCUCAGUGAUGCUUGGAGACUGGCACCACGAGCACGAUAUGCCAAGUAAACUAGAGGGAUCAGGAUGAAGUCGAUGUUAUACCAAGUCCAUUCUGUAAGACCCGGCGAAAGGCAGGCAAGGGGUUGGUACCGACGAGUCAGAUUCGGGAAUCUGCGCCGCCUGCUGUCAUCAAAGACAGCUUUCGCACCGCCUGAAGUUCGGUGCCUCACUGCCUGCAGCUCCCUAACGGCUUGCUUCGGCAUCAAAUAACCACUGGGCGUAAAGCUUGGAUUUGUCACAGAUUGCACGCGCACAGAUGGAAGACGUGAUACGGCUGUCGACCUGAAUAGCAACUCUCCGGACAUUACGCACGUAGUCACAAUCUUUGCUGGCUUAUAGUGCCUGCGAUAAAACAUCGUGCUGCUGAUGCGUUGUUUUUCAAGCGGUAACUUGCACCAAAAACAAGUAAAAUGAAAGACAUGGUUGUAUCUCUGUGUGUGUGUCGAGGAGGAAGAGGCUAAACUUUCCGAAACUUUCUAACAGCAGAGCGCUAAGUAAAUACUCUAUUUAUCACCGAGACUGAAUCAUCCUUUAAAGCCUGACGUCUAGUCUGUCGGUCACAUCACAGGAGUCAGAGAGUUUACAUAAUAAUCUCUAUAACGAGGGCUUAACAGUU